UACGUAGGGUGCAAGCGUUAAUCGGAAUUACUGGGCGUAACGCGUGCGCAGGCGGUUUUGUAAGUCUGUCGUGAAAGCCCCGGGCUCAACCUGGGAAUUGCGAUGGAGACUGCAAGGCUUGAAUCUGGCAGAGGGGGGUAGAAUUCCACGUGUAGCAGUGAAAUGCGUAGAGAUGUGGAGGAACACCGAUGGCGAAGGCAGCCCCCUGGGUCAAGAUUGACGCUCAUGCACGAAAGCGUGGGGAGCAAACAGG
rnacentral:rRNA from 1 species